GGCAAAGUCAAUCGACAGGGGAAGAAACGUGUUUAGCUAUUGGUGCCUAGCAAGCAUUCCAAACUCUGUGCUGAUCACUUCGAACCGGUGUGUUUUGAGAAAAAUUUAGCAGACAGCAUUGGAUGCACAGGUGUGGUUAGGCAGAGACUGAAACCGGCUGCGGUGCCAACUAUUUUUCCUUCGGCCACCUGGACCUCAACCGCCAGCAAGAGAAUUGAAUCUCGCAGCCGCCACGGCGCAGCAGCGAAGCGGUGCAGACGAGGAACCAAUGUCCACUUCCACAGGCAGUGGCUAUUCCCACUUUCCCAGCAAUGGCUGACCAAGACAUUCCUCAAGUGUGUGGGAGCAGAAAGCACAGUGAAGAAAAUUCUUUGAAACAAGCAACAGGGAUGCAGCUGCAUUCAAUUUCCUGUUGGAUGCUGCUUCUCUCACAAGGUCUUUCGAGAUGCACCAAGAGAGCCAGGUUUGGGAAUGUUUGUGAAUCUAAACCAGUUUUCCCUCUACACUUGGCGAAAUUAUGGAUCUAUGUUGGUAUGUCAGUUCUCCACCCCAUAUCUUUCCCUCAUGGGC